CUUGGGAAAAAUAGAAGAAAGGGCUGUUU
rnacentral:piRNA from 1 species